AGUUUUGCUGCCGGGAGUUGGUCGAGAGUUGGGUUCAGUCCUGGCCCGUUGUGGGGACGGCACGCGGGGGAAGGGGAGGGGACGGAGACCGAAGAACGGAGGUCCUUAUGUUUCUUUUCUUUCCUUAAAUCUUGCCCGGCCUGAAGAGGCCGGAAGUUGCAUCUCUGGACAAGUAAACUCUGAGACCUGGGAAUGGCGGGCGGGACCCGCUCCUCCCUUGGGGUCUAGAGGAGACCCCCGGAGAUGGUCCCUGAUGAGCAGCGUGAUGGUGGAAAGCUGGACUGGUCUCCCGAAAGGCGAAGCCGAGGCUUCUUCCUCUGAACUUUUGGAAUUUCUUCACAUGGCUCCUGGAGAAGUGACCAUCACAGUUCGCCUCAUCCGUUCCUUUGAACAUCGCAAUUUCAAACCUGUAGUGUAUCACGGAGUGAAUUUGGACCAAACUGUAAAGGAAUUUAUCGUAUUUCUAAAGCAAGAUAUCCCUUUAAGGACCAACCUGCCACCACCAUUCA
rnacentral:lncRNA from 1 species